GCGCCUGUAGCUCAAAGGACAGAGCGCCUGACUUCGAAUCAGUAGGUUGCAGGUUCGAGUCCUGCCAGGCGCGCCA
rnacentral:tRNA from 2 species